rnacentral:rRNA from 1 species
UACGGAGGGGGCUAGCGUUGCUCGGAAUUACUGGGCGUAAAGGGAGCGUAGGCGGGUUAUCAAGUUGGGGGUGAAAGCCCGGGGCUCAACCUCGGAAUUGCCUUCAAAACUGAUAACCUGGAGUAUGGAAGAGGUAAGUGGAACUCCGAGUGUAGAGGUGAAAUUCGUAGAUAUUCGGAAGAACACCAGUGGCGAAGGCGACUUACUGGUCCAUUACUGACGCUGAGGCUCGAAAGCGUGGGGAGCAAACAGG